rnacentral:rRNA from 1 species
GAUGAACGCUAGCGAUAGGCUUAACACAUGCAAGUCGAGGGGCAGCACAAGGUAGCUUGCUCUCUGGGUGGCGACCGGCGCACGGGUGCGUAACGCGUAUGCAACUUGCCCUAUACAGGAGGAUAACCCGUCGAAAGACGGACUAAUACUGCGUAUGCUCACAACUUGGCAUCAAGUGGUGAGGAAAGAAAUUCGGUAUAGGAUAGGCAUGCGUCCCAUUAGCUUGUUGGUGAGGUAACGGCUCACCAAGGCAACGAUGGGUAGGGGAACUGAGAGGUGUAUCCCCCACACUGGUACUGAGACACGGACCAGACUCCUACGGGAGGCAGCAGUGAGGAAUAUUGGUCAAUGGGCGCGAGCCUGAACCAGCUAAGUCGCGUGAAGGAUGACUGUCUUAUGGAUUGUAAACUUCUUUUAUACGGGAAUAACAAGAGUCACGGGUGACUCCCUGCAUGUACCGGAUGAAUAAGCAUCGGCUAACUCCGUG